UGCGGUCGCAGGAAUGACUGAGCCGGCGCCGCGCUUACCUCGCAGUCUUCGUACUUGAUAUUAUCCGUCAGUUUCCAAAGCAUUUUCAUGGAUCGGCGUGAAUGGAUCUGCCCCUCUCCGCCCGGCAGCCAAGUGGAGCUACUCUCUGGCGCUUUACCAACAGCCUAAUCGCCUCAUUAGCAUAUCAACAAUAGUCCAAUUGCUCGCCAGUACCACAGUCCGCCGCCGGCUGCUCCGAUCCAGGAAACUAGAAGCAACUGACAGUUCAGCUUGGUGUCUGGGCUAAGGUUUCCUGGGUACGACGUGGGCUAGAAGACCGAGCUGUGGAGAGGCACAGUGCUUCUGGAGUGGAGCCCAAUUACAGGCUCGCGUGCGCCUGCAAGUCUACAUACCGCGUCAUGCACGCAUCAAAAUAAAUCAUUGGGAACCAUCUCUUCUCUGUGUUAAUCUGCCCCAGUUUUCCCAAGAUUCCCCUUUUUAAUUAAAGAAGGGAGAGUUCCUUUAUGAUUUGAUGUUACUAACGCGGCGCGCUGGCGGAGCGGUGCCCGGCUGAGGCGGAACCCGGAGGCCCCAGCCACCCCUUGUCCAAGUUGGCCAGUGUGAGCUCCCUCCCGGGCUCCACACAGGGGCCUGCUGGCUUCUCUGGCCUCCUGUUGUUUUCUCUUUCUGUUUUAGCGACUUUUUAAAGGAAGAAAAGGAAAAACCUAAUGUGAUACUCCAAAAUGCAUAGUAGUUCAGUACCCUAGCUGAACUUUUCCAUUUGGCUUUCACAAAAGGUUUCCGUUUGUGUUUCUCCCGGUGAAAGGCACCGUCUCUCCUCUCCCAAAAGCAAUGGCUCACUUCUUAGAGUUGCUCUCCCAAGGAUCUCCUCCAUCUGGGCCUGUCUCGCAAAUUCUCCAGGUUCCCCCACUGCAUCCCCUGUAAGGGCAGUGGAAGCUUAGCAAAUUCCAAUGGGCUCUCUAACAGGUGGAAGGGAGGCAAAAAGAGGAAGCCCCCACGCACACACCUCACACACCCUAGUUAAAGCUGCAGAAAUUACCCUCCCCCUAGACCUCGGCAAAGUCCCCAAGCCAAGCAGAGAAAGACAGAGGUCUCCUUCCCCCCCCCCCAAAAAAAAAGAAAACUAGGGCAAAAGCUAGCGCUGGCACAGGGAUUCUGAGCCUGAGGUCCCCUUGGAGAUCCUGGGCACCGGUUGGCUUCUCCUUCCUUCCCACCCCAGAACACAGAGCACAGCCUCUUGGCUACCUCUGGCUGGAGAGUCCUGGCAUCGUACCCUGCCCCCCAAAAAUGCUCAACUUCCAGGACUAGGCCCCGCAGGCCUGCCCCGGGGCCUGCUACCUAGCGCAGUGGCUUAAAGUCAGGAGCAGAACGGUAGGGAACGCCGCCACCUUCCCCGCAGCGGCCCAGCCGCACAGGGCGACCUGUAGGCCACCUCCUAGGCCCGAGAGCUUGGAUUUUUACGCCUGCAGACUCGCCACGGUGCGCUUAAGCGAACUCUGCAAGUUUCGCUUUCUUGCCUUUUGGGAUGUGGGCUGGGAGCGCGUUUGCGGCCCUUCACCCCCUCCAGCUCCACCUCCAAGCUGCCCUCCCCUCACCGCCCCACGCCAGCAAGAUCUCCGGCUCCGCACCCGCCGGGGCUGCUAAACUGCUGUCGUGUUCCCGCCGAGGGCGCCAUUGAGGUGCGGAUUGGGGCCUGCAGGCUCCGUGCCGCCGCCCGCAGUGUGGGCGCUGAUGAAAGGGCCGGGUGAGCUCCCGGGUCGCCCCUGGAGCCCGCCGAGCUGCGUGUGUGUGAGCGUCCUGACCACAAGUGACUUCAUUGCAUGUCAAUGCUGCAGACGCGCCGGGACCCCAGGACAGCAGCG